UUAAAUCUAUUUUGCUUAUCUUCUAAAUUAUCCGAUUAACUUGCUGUAUUUAGUUAUAUUUAUGCGUUAUCUAACUCUUCGAUGAACUAAUAAAGAUCAUCGAAGGAACACGAGUCAAACACGCUUCAACGAAGUAAACGAUCCUUUCUUUAAAUUAAAAAAGAAAAAAAACAAGGCUAUGGCCAGGAGAGGAAGAGGAUCGAUACAUUUUGCUGUAUCUAGUUUAUUACGAGUAACUUUAGUAUGUGAGGUAGAUGGAUGCGUUGUUUUAAUGGUUCAUUAAAAAUUUAUUCGUUCCAUUUACUAAUACAGGAUUUAAAAGCUACUAGAUUAACUAGAAAUUUUAUUAAACCGGCGGACUUUUUGCCGUUUAGACCGGAUAAUCGAGCGUUUUUAAUAACAUUAAGAUUAUUCAAAACGAUUAAAAAAAAAAAGAAAAGAAAGAAAACGUGUAGCGUUGUACAGUACAUACACAGAGAUCAAACGCUUCAAAACUAUAGUGAGAAAUCCAGGGAGCAAUGAAUUAUAGAAAAAUUCGGUUCGGGGCAUCGUUUUAUGCUGAUAUCAAUGCUAUUGAGGCCGAUUAUAUCAGUUGAUAAAUUGAAAAGAUUACAGAAAUGAAGGCCUAUUAUAUCACUUGAAAAUGCUAAUAGGAAUCUAGAGAAGAAUUCAAUCCAAGACAAAUUAGAUUAAAUUUUUGUACUAUUAAGUUUUAUGAUCAAGCAGGUACAUUUGAUAAAUUACACACCUUCAGAUGAAUAAUAAAAUGAUAUGCAUCUGUCCAGGACUGUCGAGAGUGGGAAGCUAGGAUUUUUCCUAGUGCCCUAAAAAAACUUAGGGGCCCUUAG